rnacentral:tRNA from 2 species
CCUGGUUUGCUCAGUUGGUAGAGCACUCCAUUGGAAACGGAGAGGUUCCUGGUUCGUUACCAGGAGCAAGCG